CAACAUCACAGAGGAGCCACUGAUGAAACCCUUAACCAUCACCACAGGAUUGGAAUAAGCAUCUUGGUUUUUUUUUCAUCUUGUAGUGUUUGCUGUUUUUCUGAGGUCAUAUGAGCCACCAUCGUGCAGCCGGUCACAUGACCACGCCUGAAUGCUCAUGCACAUGUGACCUCGUCAGUCAUGUGACAAACUGCUUUCUAGCUUUCUAACCCUUCCUUUCCGACACUUGGAUGUGCCUGGAUCACUUUCUCUAACCAUGACGCAUGUAGCCCAGUUCGGAAGAAUGAGGCAGGAAGGAAGGACACGAGGAAUGUGUGGAAUUCCAACGAGCAGGAAGGGAGCGAGAUCGAGGAUGAGGAAAAAGUCGUCUGCGAGACUGAGGCUCGUGGAUGGGCUCUCGAGAGCAUUGUG